UACGUAGGGUGCAAGCGUUGUCCGGAAUUAUUGGGCGUAAAGAGCUUGUAGGCGGUUUGUCGCGUCUGCUGUGAAAUUUCGGGGCUCAACCCCGAACUUGCAGUGGGUACGGGCAGACUAGAGUGUGGUAGGGGAGACUGGAAUUCCUGGUGUAGCGGUGAAAUGCGCAGAUAUCAGGAGGAACACCGAUGGCGAAGGCGGCAUCCUGGACCGGCAUUGACGCUGAUGAGCGAAAGCUAGGGGAGCAAACGGG
rnacentral:rRNA from 1 species